CGACCGGCGCACGGGUGAGUAACACGUAUCCAACCUGCCGAUAACUCGGGGAUAGCCUUUCGAAAGAAAGAUUAAUAUCCGAUAGCAUAUUGAGAUCGCAUGAUUUUGAUAUUAAAGAAUUUCGGUUAUCGAUGGGGAUGCGUUCCAUUAGUUUGUUGGCGGGGUAACGGCCCACCAAGACUACGAUGGAUAGGGGUUCUGAGAGGAAGGUCCCCCACACUGGUACUGAGACACGGACCAG
rnacentral:rRNA from 1 species